ACGAUUGAAACACCGGUUUCCGUAUGAUCACCGAAGUUAAGCAACGUCGAUCCUGGUCAGAAUUUAGAUGGGUGACCGCUUGGGAAUACCACGUGUU